AGAAACGGCCGGGCGCUGCUUCCGUAGCGCAGCCGCUGGCUGCGAAGCGCGGGGCGGGGGCGGAGACUGCGUGGCGCAGGCGCGGUGCUGGGCUUCUCCUGGGUCCCCAGACAGCUGGAGGAGAUAAACAGAGGAGGAGGAGGGAGGGGAGUGCGUGUGUGAGAGCGCGCGAGGGAGUGUGAGUGUGUGUGAGCGCGGGUGUGAGGCGGUGCGCAGGGGCGGGCGGAGGCGCUGUCCGGCCCCGGCCAGGCGCCGGGCGGGGAGCAUGGGAAGGGGCUAGAGUUGUCCCGGCCCCCCAGCCCCCUCCCCGGGAUCCGCGCCCCCCCUCCGGGGAGAGGGGCCGGGCCCCCGGGACGGACAUGGGCUCCUGAAGUUGCGCCGACACCAGUCCUGGGAAGAGGCCUGACAGUCCAGGCUUCUGGCAGCCGCAGAUGCCUUCAGUGGCCCAUCCUGGCACCAAACUGAACUCUGCCGAGGUGUUUCCACCAGGCGACUGUAGCGCCCGUACAAAGGGCCUUUACUUGGGGACUGGCUAUUCAGUACCCACUUCAAAGGGUAAAUAGGAAGUGUGGAGUAGAAGAGAGACUGCGACCCAGCAGGAUCCAAUUCUCCUUGCUGAAAGCUGCAGUGAGACGCCCCCUUGCCAACCAGGUAAUUAAAUGCGAGUCUUGUGGACCUGGGCUUGGCUGGGAUGCUCAAGGGUCCUGAAGAUCCUUCUAUAGCUUCCUUGUGUUGAAUCCAUUAAAAGAAGAUGGCAAAAGUCAACAUAACUAGAGACCUCAUCCGUAGGCAGAUCAAGGAGCGAGGUGCCCUGAGCUUUGAGCGGCGCUACCAUGUCACUGACCCCUUUAUCAGGAGACUGGGCCUAGAAGCAGAGCUGCAGGGUCACUCAGGAUGUGUCAACUGCCUGGAGUGGAAUGAGAAAGGAGACUUGCUGGCCUCUGGUUCCGAUGACCAGCACACAAUUGUGUGGGACCCGCUGCACCACAAGAAGCUGCUCUCCAUGCACACAGGACACACUGCAAAUAUCUUUUCUGUCAAGUUCCUGCCUCACGCUGGGGACCGCAUCUUGAUCACGGGGGCAGCUGACUCCAAGGUGCACGUCCACGACCUGACAGUAAAGGAGACCAUCCACAUGUUUGGAGACCACACAAACCGGGUGAAACGCAUCGCCACGGCACCCAUGUGGCCCAACACGUUCUGGAGCGCUGCUGAGGAUGGGCUUAUCCGCCAGUAUGACCUUCGGGAGAACAGCAAACACUCGGAGGUGCUGAUUGACCUGACAGAGUACUGUGGCCAGCUGGUAGAGGCCAAGUGCCUCACCGUCAACCCCCAGGACAACAACUGCCUGGCAGUAGGGGCCAGUGGGCCCUUUGUGAGGCUCUACGACAUUCGCAUGAUCCACAACCACAGAAAGAGCAUGAAGCAGAGCCCUUCAGCAGGUGUGCACACUUUCUGUGACCGGCAAAAGCCUCUUCCGGAUGGUGCAGCCCAGUAUUACGUAGCAGGUCACCUGCCAGUGAAGCUGCCUGACUACAACAACCGUCUGAGAGUGCUGGUUGCCACCUAUGUGACUUUCAGCCCCAAUGGCACAGAGCUGCUGGUCAACAUGGGAGGAGAGCAGGUCUACUUGUUUGACCUGACUUACAAGCAGCGGCCAUACACCUUCCUCUUGCCUAGAAAAUGCCACUCCUCGGGGGAAGUUCAGAAUGGCAAGAUGUCUACCAAUGGUGUGUCCAACGGUGUGUCCAAUGGCCUGCACCUUCACAGCAAUGGCUUCCGGCUGCCUGAGAGUAGGGGACAUGUCAGCCCCCAGGUAGAGCUGCCCCCAUACCUGGAGCGUGUGAAACAGCAAGCCAAUGAGGCCUUUGCCUGCCAGCAGUGGACCCAGGCCAUUCAGCUUUACAGCAAGGCCGUGCAGAGGGCCCCUCACAAUGCCAUGCUCUACGGGAACCGAGCUGCAGCCUACAUGAAGCGCAAGUGGGAUGGUGACCACUAUGAUGCCCUGAGGGACUGCCUGAAGGCCAUCUCCCUAAAUCCAUGCCACCUGAAGGCACACUUCCGCCUGGCCCGAUGCCUCUUUGAGCUCAAGUACGUGGCUGAGGCCCUGGAGUGCCUGGAUGAUUUCAAAGGGAAGUUCCCGGAGCAGGCCCAUAGCAGCGCUUGUGAUGCACUGGGACGCGACAUCACGGCCGCCCUCUUCUCCAAAAAUGAUGGUGAAGAGAAGAAGGGAGCUGGUGGUGGCGGCGGCCCUGUCCGCCUCCGCAGCACGAGCCGCAAAGACUCCAUCUCAGAGGAUGAGAUGGUGCUGCGGGAGCGAAGCUACGACUAUCAGUUCCGCUACUGUGGCCACUGCAACACCACCACGGAUAUCAAGGAGGCCAAUUUCUUUGGCAGGUCCGAGGCACUGAAGAGGAGGAGGGCACAGCCCAGUUGGCAGUUGGAGGUUGGGGGGACAUGGGGACAUAAUGCUUUCAGAAAAGAGUCUCAGAUCCCAGCUUUACCUCUGUACCCCUGGGCAAAUGGCUUCACCUCUGUGGGCCUCAGUUUCUUCAUCUAUAAAAUGAUGCCAGCUUUCCCCACCUCAGGGGCCAUAAGGAGGACUAACGAGGUAACCCAGAAAGCGCCCAGCACGCUGCCCGGCCUCCUCCUUAACCCCCUCCCCACCCCGGUCUCCAUGUGUCAGAGCUUGGUGUCUUUAUCUGGUUGCUUGGGGCCUUCCCCUGCUGAGGGUAGAGACAAACGCCCUCAGAGGCUGGCAGUCUUGGCAGUCUUUUGUGCCUGGAACUGGGCCCCAGUACUGAGGGACAGAGCCCAUGUCUCAGACACCAUCACCUCUAACCCGCCUUUGUGGGUGAUGUGCUUUCUUUGGGUAGGUGAGAUACAUGAAUGCAAAUCAGGACUCUCCAUCAGGAGCCCUUCUAAUGGCCGUGGUGUGAGGGCAGAUGGUUAGGAGUUGGGGGGUCUGGAUCCAGGAAGGCUCGGGCUGCUGAGCCUUGUCUUAGGCCAGAGUGUUUCCACAAAACAAAAAGAAAAGGCGGGGGCGGGGGGCCAGUUUCCAUUGUGGCGCAGCAGGAACAAAUCCGUCUAGGAACCAUGAGGUUGCGGGUUCAAUCCCCGGCCUGGCUCAGUGGGUUAAGGAUCCAGCGUUGCUGUGAGCUGUGGUGUAGGUCGCAGAUGCAGCUUGGAUCUGGCGUUGUGUUGCUAUGGCUGUGGCGUAGGUCAGCAGCUGUAGCUCCGAUUAGACCGCUCGCCUGGGAAUCACCAUAUGCCGCGGGUAUGGCCCUGAAAAGACCAAAAAAAAAAAGUGUUUCAGAGGCCCAAGAGAUGUAGGAUCUGGUCCUGGCACCCAGGAGCUUAUCAGAUACUGUGGAGGAGAGUGAGUUAGAGGGACCCGGGCAGUCCCUGACCCCGAGUGACAGUGACAGGGCUCUGUAGUAUGGAGGGGAUUACUGUGUACGAGGGAAUUCUGAGUCAGGUGAAGACGCCGAGUGGCUCCAGAAGUCCCUGCUCCCCGUUUCCCUGAGCCACACAGCCUCUACUUGAGGCUGCAGGGCGGUACCCCACCUGACCUCCCUGCCCUUUGCCCCCCUGCCAGCAACGCUCAGUACAUCGUCAGUGGCUCUGACGAUGGCUCCUUCUUCAUCUGGGAAAAGGAGACCACCAACCUGGUCCGCGUGCUCCAGGGGGACGAGUCCAUCGUCAACUGCCUGCAGCCGCACCCCAGCUACUGCUUCCUGGCCACCAGUGGCAUCGACCCUGUUGUGCGGCUCUGGAACCCCCGGCCAGAGAGUGAAGACCUCACAGGCCGGGUUGUGGAGGACAUGGAGGGCGCUUCACAGGCCAACCAGCGGCGCAUGAAUGCAGACCCGUUGGAGGUGAUGCUGCUCAACAUGGGCUACCGGAUCACAGGCCUGAGCAGUGGGGGUGCCGGGGCCUCCGACGAUGAGGACAGCUCCGAGGGCCAGGUGCAGUGCCGGCCCAGCUAGACCCUCCUGGCCCUGGUCCCCAGCCCCUGUUGUUGGCUGGAUCCUCCACACCAGGCAGGAGGUCAGGGGGUUCCAUUUUGGUUUGUCUUCCCCUUUCCCCCAUUUUUUCAUUUCCCUGUUUUGUUUGUUAGUUUGGCAUUGGGGAUGGGGGAUGCUGCAACUUGCUAGCUUUCGGACUUUGGGGCAGAUUGCCCCUUGACUGGCCCCAGCCCUGAGCAGGAGGGGAAGCCCCUCUAUAUGCCCCCACCUCCCACUUCCAUGUCCCUGGAGAGCUCUGGCCCGCCUCUGGUGGGGAGGCAAGGGCUGAAGCUGUCUUCAAGGACUGCCCUCCCCUCAGUUGGCAGCAGGAAGGGGAGUGGAAUUCCCAGUCCAUAAGGACUAGCCUUGACCUGUUGCCACUCCUGCCCCUGGCCGGCAAGGCUAGCUCCCUCCUGGUCUUCAGGGAAGCUUCUGAAAAAGAAUAGGGUCCCCCUCUCCCUCCAGAGCCACUGUCACGCUGGAAGCAGAAGGAAGGAAGGGAGCCCUGGAGUGGGCUGGACCAGGCCACUGCCUCCUUGCAGUACAGCCUCCUUGCCCUCCUCCCGGGCACUGGCUCUGGGUCCUGUGUAGGCUCUCACUGGCCACCUCUGGGGGCUCCACCUUUCCCAAGGGCCCUGGCAGAGGGUGGGGCACCGCACCAUACCCCACCUAUCUGUCCAGCCCUCCCAGACUCUGGAGGACCACCCUCCCUUGGGCGCUCUUCGGCCUCACUGUGACCUUUCUGCCAGAGCUCCCAGCCAGGCCUACUCGCUGAGGUGGCACUCCCUGCUAGGGGCCUUCCAGGCCCUCUGCCCUCCCUCCCACCCCACAUGCUGAGCCGCCACAAAGACCAAAGAAGUGAUGGCUUUUCUCUGGCCCCUGCUGCUCUGGGGGAAGGGGGGUGGGUCUCCUGAGCCGCUCGAUGGGAAGGUCCCUAACUCAGCCCCCUCCCUCCUCAGCAGCGUGAGCUUUACACUGGAUGCAGCAGUCACCCCACCAUUCACCAAGCCUCCCCCUUUGCCCCCUUGGCUCUCAACUCCAGAGCUGCUCCUGGUAGUUGGUUCAUCCUUCCUCCCCUCUCCCUCCCCAGUCCCCUCAGCACUCACUUGGUUCCAGCCCUCCAGCUGCAGCCUCUGGGGAGAAGCGGCCUCCUUCCCUCCCUUCCUCCCUCCCCCCCUUUCUCUGCCAGGUGCCUCCUCUCAGUCAGGCUUCAGAGAAGCCCUGGAGACAGCAGGGCCGUGUAAAAGCUUUUUCACAGUUUUAAGAAGAUGAGGAGUGAGGGGGUGGCAGAGAUAGUGGUGGGGGGUCUGGCCCCAGCUCGUCAUUGCUUUAAUCCCAGCAACACAGGUGGCAGCCUCUCCCCCUUCCUCCCUACCCCAUCCCUCUCCCCACCCCUCUUUCUAGCUUGGUAAUGAAGUAUAUUUAUUGGUGAAGGAAACAGCUGCUGCUGCUUCUCCUGCUGCUGGGACUUGCUCCCCUGUAUCUUCUCCACGACCUUUCUCCAGCCGGGAGGGGAGAGCGAGAGCACUGGAGCUGGGCCCUGGGGCCCAAGGACCAGCAGGGGCCCCUUUGCUUUCCUCUGUUCGAGCCACCUGCCACUCCCUCUCUCCCUGCCUCCCACCCUCUCUCCCUGCCUCCUGCCCUCUGCCAGCCCAGCCUGGGCCCUGCAGUGUGGAGAGACACAUAAGCCUUACUGUCCUCUGGGGGCAGGAGCCGAGCCUUUUUGUUGCUCCGCUCCCAGAAGAGUGAGGGUGACGCAAUUGAUUAAAACCAUUUUGUUCUAGGUGUGGCUGGUGACAUUUGUGGGGUGCAAAUGGGUCUCGGGAUCAAAGUGAGGAUAUCUCUCUUGCCUCUGUGGCUCUGUGACUGAUUAACCACACCUCUGCUGGGUGGAAUAGGCAGGCCUGCCUAGGAGGGUCCUGUGGAUAGUGGCCACCCCGGCUGGCAGGGCCAAGUGCAGAGCACAGCUCCAGUGACUGUGAUUUGCAGUAAUCAGCUUUCACUCUUUAGGCUGUUUUCUCAUCUCUAAAAUAAGGAGGUUGGAGUCUUAGUGUCUUUUUCAAACUUUCAAAAUUGGAAUCCAAAUAAGAAAUAUACAUUUUACACUGUGAUCCAUGAGACCCAUGCUAAUUUGUAUGUAUAUAAUGAACAUAAGUUUUAUACAGUAUUUACCCUUGCUACAUUCAGUGUGUUCUAUUUGCCAUUCUAUUUUAUUAAGGAGAAAAAAUGUUGAUUAUAACCCACUAAAUUGAUUUCACAACCUGCA